UAGGGAAUCUUCCACAAUGGGCGAAAGCCUGAUGGAGCAACGCCGCGUGUGUGAUGAAGGGUUUCGGCUCGUAAAACACUGUUGUAAGAGAAGAAUGACAUUGAGAGUAACUGUUCAAUGUGUGACGGUAUCUUACCAGAAAGGAACGACUAAAUACGCGCCAG
rnacentral:rRNA from 1 species